rnacentral:sRNA from 1 species
AGGCCAUAGCUGAGAUUCUGACGGACCGUCAUAUGCGGGUAGAGCGCGUAGUUCUGAAAGACCAUAGCAAUGUCGCGCUCGGAAGGCUCCAGCCCGUUGACGACGCGGUCGCCGAU